GGCCAAACGCGCGCUGAACGCGGGAUCCUUGGGUCGGGGCUCCGGCGUCGCGACCCCCGGGAGUCAGCAGGUCCGAGGGCUUAGGCCACGCGGCCGGAGGUGCUGGGAACAGCUGGGCGGGAGCCUCCAAGGGGUCCCGUGUCAGCGGUGGGCCCGCAGCAGUUGUUCCCGACAUGCUUCUCUAGAGGAUUUCAAACCCUCGCCGCAACCACCACCCUCCCGUUUCCUUAGCCACCCCAGCAACAGGCGGUGGCCUGCGUUUCAUUGGCCGGGCCCCGCGUCGGUGCGUUUUGAUUGGCCGUCAUGCCUCCCGGCCCCGCUCCUACGCUCGCUACUGCCUCCAUUUUGUCGGUAGAGGCAGAAGGAGGAAGCCGUCGGGACGCCGGGGUGGUGGUAGCUAGGUCAUCCGUGCUUGUGGGCUUUGUUCUUUCCGUGCCUCGUCUCUCCCUGGAAGGGGAGGGGGCUUCGUCGCUGAGGAGGAUCCGUAGCUACAGUCCGAGCUUGAAGUCGCUAGGACUUCUCUCAAACUUGUGUGCUGAGGAGUCUCAGAUGUUGGCCUCGGCUCCUAAGCUGGACUCAGCAGAUUGGCCCAUGAAAACGUCUGUUUUGAGACAAAGGAAAGGAUCUGUCAGAAAGCAACAUCUAUUCUCCUGGGCUUGGCAACAAGGAAGAGAACAGAGAGUGGGAAUCCUGCAAUCUGAAAAACAGACUGAAAGGUAUA